AGCUCUCCGAGUGGUGUGGACGUUUAUUGGGCCUAAAGCAUCCGUAGCUGGCUGAACAAGUCCCCUGUUAAACCCACCGAUUUAAUCGUUGGUCUGCGGGGGAUACUGCUCGGCUAGGGGACGAGAGAGGCAGACGGUAUUCCCGGGGUAGGGGUGAAAUCCUAUAAUCCCGAGAAGACCACCAGUGGCAAAGGCUGUCUGCUAGAACGCGCCCGACGGUGAGGGAUGAAAGCUGGGGGAGCGAACC
rnacentral:rRNA from 1 species